rnacentral:rRNA from 1 species
CAUUCAGUAGCGAGCUUAACCGAGUAGGGGAGGCGUAGGGAAACCGAGUCUUAAUAGGGCGACUAGUUGCUGGGUGUAGACCCGAAACCGAGUGAUCUAUCCAUGGCCAGGAUGAAGGUGCGGUAAAACGCAUUGGAGGUCCGAACCCACGCAUGUUGCAAAAUGCGGGGAUGAGCUGUGGAUAGGGGUGAAAGGCUAAACAAACUCGGAGAUAGCUGGUUCUCCCCGAAAACUAUUUAGGUAGUGCCUCGAGUAUGAGACUGAUGGGGGUAAAGCACUGUUAUGGCUAGGGGGUUAUUGCAACUUACCAACCCAUGGCAAACUAAGAAUACCAUCAAGUUGCUCCUCGGGAGACAGACAUCGGGUGCUAACGUCCGGUGUCAAGAGGGAAACAACCCAGACCGCCAGCUAAGGUCCCAAAUGAUAGAUUAAGUGGUAAACGAAGUGGGAAGGCACAGACAGCCAGGAUGUUGGCUUAGAAGCAGCCAUCAUUUAAAGAAAGCGUAAUAGCUCACUGGUCGAGUUUUCCUGCGCGGAAGAUGUAACGGGGCUCAAAUCUAUAACCGAAGCUGCGGAUAUACUUUUGUAUAUGGUAGGGGAGCGUUCUGUAAGCCUGUGAAGGUGACUUGUAAAGGUUGCUGGAGGUAUCAGAAGUGCGAAUGUUGACAUGAGUAGCGAUAAAGCGGGUGAAAAGCCCGCUCGCCGAAAGCCCAAGGUUUCCUACGCAACGUUCAUCGGCGUAGGGUGAGUCGGUCCCUAAGGCGAGGCAGAAAUGCGUAGUCGAUGGGAAACAGGUUAAUAUUCCUGUACUUUGAUUCAAUGCGAUGUGGGGACGGAGAAGGUUAGGUUAGCAAACUGUUGGAAUAGUUUGUUUAAGCCAGUAGGUGGAAAGAGUAGGCAAAUCCGCUCUUUCUUAACACCGAGACGUGAUGACGAGUGUCUACGGACAUGAAGUGACCAAUACCACGCUUCCAGGAAAAGCCACUAAGCUUCAGUUGAAUCAGAACCGUACCGCAAACCGACACAGGUGGGCAGGAUGAGAAUUCUAAGGCGCUUGAGAGAACUCGGGAGAAGGAACUCGGCAAAUUGAUACCGUAACUUCGGGAGAAGGUAUGCCCUCUAAUGUUAAGGACUUGCUCCGUAAGCAUCUGAGGGUCGCAGAGAAUCGGUGGCUGCGACUGUUUAUUAAAAACACAGCACUCUGCUAACACGAAAGUGGACGUAUAGGGUGUGACGCCUGCCCGGUGCUGGAAGGUUAAUUGAAGAUGUGCAAGCAUCGGAUCGAAGCCCCAGUAAACGGCGGCCGUAACUAUAACGGUCCUAAGGUAGCGAAAUUCCUUGUCGGGUAAGUUCCGACCCGCACGAAUGGCGUAACGAUGGCCACACUGUCUCCUCCCGAGACUCAGCGAAGUUGAAAUGGUUGUGAAGAUGCAAUCUCCCCGCUGCUAGACGGAAAGACCCCGUGAACCUUUACUGUAGCUUUGCAUUGGACUUUGAAGUCACUUGUGUAGGAUAGGUGGGAGGCUUUGAAGCAGAGACGCCAGUCUCUGUGGAGCCGUCCUUGAAAUACCACCCUGGUGACUUUGAGGUUCUAACCCAGACCCGUUAUCCGGGUCGGGGACCGUGCAUGGUAGGCAGUUUGACUGGGGCGGUCUCCUCCCAAAGAGUAACGGAGGAGUUCGAAGGUUACCUAGGUCCGGUCGGAAAUCGGACUGAUAGUGCAAUGGCAAAAGGUAGCUUAACUGCGAGACCGACAAGUCGAGCAGGUGCGAAAGCAGGACAUAGUGAUCCGGUGGUUCUGAAUGGAAGGGCCAUCGCUCAACGGAUAAAAGGUACUCCGGGGAUAACAGGCUGAUUCCGCCCAAGAGUCCAUAUCGACGGCGGAGUUUGGCACCUCGAUGUCGGCUCAUCACAUCCUGGGGCUGUAGUCGGUCCCAAGGGUAUGGCUGUUCGCCAUUUAAAGUGGUACGUGAGCUGGGUUUAAAACGUCGUGAGACAGUUUGGUCCCUAUCUGCAGUGGGCGUUGGAAGUUUGAAGGGGGCUGCUCCUAGUACGAGAGGACCGGAGUGGACGAACCUCUGGUGUACCGGUUGUUUCGCCAGAAGCAUAGCCGGGUAGCUAAGUUCGGAAGAGAUAAGCGCUGAAAGCAUCUAAGCGCGAAACUCGCCCAAAGAUGAGACUUCCCUUGUGGUUUAACCAUACUAAAGAGUCGUUCGAGACCAGGACGUUGAUAGGUUGGGUGUGGAAGGGUGGUAACACUUGAAGCUAACCAAUACUAAUUGCUCGUGAGGCUUGACUCU